GGAAGGAUCAUUACGAGAGUCUCGGGGCUCCGUCCCCGAAACCCCAACCCCCUGCGUACAGCCGCAUAACUUGUUGCCUCGGCGGGCCCUCGCCCGCCGGUGGUCAGCUAAACUCUUGUUUGAACGUUGCAGUCCGAGCUUUACAGCAAAGUAAAUCGAAGUAAAACUUUCAACAACGGAUCUCUUGGUUCUGGCAUCGAUGAAGAACGCAGCGAAAUGCGAUAAGUAAUGUGAAUUGCAGAAUUCAGUGAAUCAUCGAAUCUUUGAACGCACAUUGCGCCCUUUGGCAUUCCGAAGGGCACACCUGUUCGAGCGUCAUUACAACCGUCAAGCCCCGGCUUGGUGUUGGGCACCACGUCCCUAGGGACGGGCCUCAAAGUCAGCGGCGGCGCGCACCGGCUCCGAGCGUAGCAGAAAUAUUCGCUCUGGGGUCCCGAGUCGCGUCUUCGCCGUCAAUACGCACUGUUGUCUAAGGUUGACCUCGGAUCAGGUGGGGAUACCCGCUGAACUUAAGCAUAUCAAUAAGCGGAGGAAAAGAAACCAACAGGGAUUGCCUCAGUAACGGCGAGUGAAGCGGCAACAGCUCAGAUUUAAAAUCUGGCUCCUUCGGAGCCCGAGUUGUAAUCUGCAGAGGAUGCUUCGGCGUUGGCACCGACCUAAGUUCCUUGGAACAGGGCGUCACAGAGGGUGAGAAUCCCGUACGUGGCCGGCCGCUUUCGCCAUGUGAAGCUCCUUCGACGAGUCGAGUUGUUUGGGAAUGCAGCUCUAAAUGGGAGGUAAAUUUCUUCUAAAGCUAAAUACCGGCCAGAGACCGAUAGCGCACAAGUAGAGUGAUCGAAAGAUGAAAAGCACUUUGGAAAGAGAGUUAAAAAGCACGUGAAAUUGUUGAAAGGGAAGCGCUUGCAAUCAGACUUGCUCGCGGUUGCUUAUCCAGGCUUUUGCCUGGUGCACUCUUCCGCGAUCAGGCCAGCAUCAGUUCGGGCGGUCGGAUAAAGGUCUCGGGAAUGUAGCUCCUCUCGGGGAGUGUUAUAGCCUGAUUCGCAAUGCGACCCGCCCGGACUGAGGCCCGCGUUCUUCCAGGAUGCUGGCGUAAUGGUUGUAAGCGGCCCGUCUUGAAACACGGACCAAGGAGUCUAACAUCUGUGCGAGUGUUCGGGUGUCAAACCCGUGCGCGUAAUGAAAGUGAACGGAGGUGGGAACCCGCAAGGGCGCACCAUCGACCGAUCCUGAUGUCUUCGGAUGGAUUUGAGUAAGAGCAUAGCUGUUGGGACCCGAAAGAUGGUGAACUAUGCGUGAGUAGGGUGAAGCCAGAGGAAACUCUGGUGGAGGCUCGCAGCGGUUCUGACGUGCAAAUCGAUCGUCAAACUUGCGCAUAGGGGCGAAAGACUAAUCGAACCAUCUAGUAGCUGGUUCCUGC
rnacentral:misc_RNA from 1 species